rnacentral:rRNA from 1 species
AACGCUAGCGGGAUGCUUUACACAUGCAAGUCGAACGGCAGCACGAGAGAGCUUGCUCUCUUGGUGGCGAGUGGCGGACGGGUGAGUAAUAUAUCGGAACGUGCCUAGUAGCGGGGGAUAACUACUCGAAAGAGUGGCUAAUACCGCAUACGCCCUACGGGGGAAAGGGGGGGAUCGCAAGACCUCUCACUAUUAGAGCGGCCGAUAUCGGAUUAGCUAGUUGGUGGGGUAAAGGCUCACCAAGGCAACGAUCCGUAGCUGGUUUGAGAGGACGACCAGCCACACUGGGACUGAGACACGGCCCAGACUCCUACGGGAGGCAGCAGUGGGGAAUUUUGGACAAUGGGGGAAACCCUGAUCCAGCCAUCCCGCGUGUAUGAUGAAGGCCUUCGGGUUGUAAAGUACUUUUGGCAGAGAAGAAAAGGUACCUCCUAAUACGAGGUACUGCUGACGGUAUCUGCAGAAUAAGCACCGGCUAACUACGUGCCAGCAGCCGCGGUAAUACGUAGGGUGCAAGCGUUAAUCGGAAUUACUGGGCGUAAAGCGUGUGUAGGCGGUUCGGAAAGAAAGAUGUGAAAUCCCAGGGCUUAACCUUGGAACUGCAUUUUUAACUGCCGAGCUAGAGUAUGUCAGAGGGGGGUAGAAUUCCACGUGUAGCAGUGAAAUGCGUAGAUAUGUGGAGGAAUACCGAUGGCGAAGGCAGCCCCCUGGGAUAAUACUGACGCUCAGACACGAAAGCGUGGGGAGCAAACAGGAUUAGAUACCCUGGUAGUCCACGCCCUAAACGAUGUCAACUAGCUGUUGGGGCCGUUAGGCCUUAGUAGCGCAGCUAACGCGUGAAGUUGACCGCCUGGGGAGUACGGUCGCAAGAUUAAAACUCAAAGGAAUUGACGGGGACCCGCACAAGCGGUGGAUGAUGUGGAUUAAUUCGAUGCAACGCGAAAAACCUUACCUACCCUUGACAUGUCUGGAAUCCCGAAGAGAUUUGGGAGUGCUCGCAAGAGAACCGGAACACAGGUGCUGCAUGGCUGUCGUCAGCUCGUGUCGUGAGAUGUUGGGUUAAGUCCCGCAACGAGCGCAACCCUUGUCAUUAGUUGCUACGCAAGAGCACUCUAAUGAGACUGCCGGUGACAAACCGGAGGAAGGUGGGGAUGACGUCAAGUCCUCAUGGCCCUUAUGGGUAGGGCUUCACACGUCAUACAAUGGUCGGGACAGAGGGUCGCCAACCCGCGAGGGGGAGCCAAUCUCAGAAACCCGAUCGUAGUCCGGAUCGCAGUCUGCAACUCGACUGCGUGAAGUCGGAAUCGCUAGUAAUCGCGGAUCAGAAUGUCGCGGUGAAUACGUUCCCGGGUCUUGUACACACCGCCCGUCACACCAUGGGAGUGGGUUUCACCAGAAGUAGGUAGCCUAACCGUAAGGAGGGCGCUUACCACGGUGGGAUUCAUGACUGGGGUGAAGUCGUAACAAGGUAGCCGUA